GAGUUUGAUCGUGGCUCAGAUUGAACGCUGGCGGCAGGCCUAACACAUGCAAGUCGAGCGGUAGAGAGAAGCUUGCUUCUCUUGGAGAGCGGCGGACGGGUGAGUAAUGCCUAGGAAUCUGCCUGGUAGUGGGGGAUAACGCUCGGAAACGGACGCUAAUACCGCAUACGUCCUACGGGAGAAAGCAGGGGACCUUCGGGCCUUGCGCUAUCAGAUGAGCCUAGGUCGGAUUAGCUAGUUGGUGAGGUAAUGGCUCACCAAGGCGACGAUCCGUAACUGGUCUGAGAGGAUGAUCAGUCACACUGGAACUGAGACACGGUCCAGACUCCUACGGGAGGCAGCAGUGGGGAAUAUUGGACAAUGGGCGAAAGCCUGAUCCAGCCAUGCCGCGUGUGUGAAGAAGGUCUUCGGAUUGUAAAGCACUUUAAGUUGGGAGGAAGGGCAGUAAAUUAAUACUUUGCUGUUUUGACGUUACCGACAGAAUAAGCACCGGCUAACUCUGUGACAGCCG
rnacentral:rRNA from 1 species